AGUUUUAAUAGUUUAACAAAAACAUUGGUCUUGUAAACCAAAAAUAAGAGAAAUUCUUUUAAAACUUC
rnacentral:tRNA from 1 species